rnacentral:rRNA from 1 species
UACGUAGGGUGCAAGCGUUGUCCGGAAUUAUUGGGCGUAAAGAGCUCGUAGGCGGUUUGUUGCGUCUGCUGUGAAAACUCGGGGCUUAACUCCGGGCCUGCAGUCGAUACGGGCAGACUGGAGUUUGGCAGGGGAGACUGGAAUUUACGGUGUAGCAGUGAAAUGCGUAGAGAUCGUGAGGAAGACCAGUGGCGAAGGCGGGUCGCUGGGCUGUAACUGACGCUGAGGAGCGAAAGCAUGGGGAGCGAACAGG